rnacentral:rRNA from 1 species
CAGCCGCCGCGGGAAUACGUAGGGUGCAAGCGUUAAUCGGAAUUACUGGGCGUAAAGCGUGCGCAGGCGGUGUUGUAAGACUGAUGUGAAAUCCCCGGGCUCAACCUGGGAACUGCAUUGGUGACUGCAACGCUGGAGUGCGGCAGAGGGGGAUGGAAUUCCGCGUGUAGCAGUGAAAUGCGUAGAUAUGCGGAGGAACGCCGAUGGCGAAGGCAAUCCCCUGGGCCUGCACUGACGCUCAUGCACGAAAGCGUGGGGAGCAAACAGGAUUAGAUACCCCUGUAGUCCCUGUCUCUUAUAC